GCCGGGCGUGGUGGCUCACGCCUGUAAUCCCAGCACUUUGGGAGGCUGAGGUGGGUGGAUCACCUGAGGUCGGGAGUUCAAGACCAGCCUGACCAACAUGGAGAAACCCCGUCUCUA
rnacentral:SRP_RNA from 2 species